rnacentral:rRNA from 1 species
AGAACGAACGCUGGCGGCAGGCUUAACACAUGCAAGUCGAGCGCCCAGCAAUGGGAGCGGCGGACGGGUGAGUAACACGUGGGAACAUGCCCUUUGGUACGGGACAACUCAGGGAAACUUGAGCUAAUACCGUAUGUGCCGGUAACGGGAAAGAUUUAUCGCCAAAGGAAUGGCCCGCGUCCGAUUAGCUAGUUGGUGAGGUAAUGGCUCACCAAGGCACCGAUCGGUAGCUGGUUUGAGAGAACGACCAGCCACACUGGGACUGAGACACGGCCCAGACUCCUACGGGAGGCAGCAGUGGGGAAUCUUGGACAAUGGGGGCAACCCUGAUCCAGCCAUGCCGCGUGAGUGAUGAAGGCCUUCGGGUUGUAAAACUCUUUCGACGGGGACGAUAAUGACGGUACCCGUAGAAGAAGCUCCGGCUAACUUCGUGCCAGCAGCCGC